CUGAACGGCCUGCAGGGUCACUUUGUACAAUGUCACUGCCUAUCGUCCACAUUCUUCAGCAAACCAACACAUUUUCAUCCCUUAAUCAAUUCAGUUGACCUUUGACCUUUGGCCACGUGGCUGAUUUGCAUGAGUGCACUAGUGUAUGCUACACAGGUGAGCCCUGUGGUGUAAUUAGCGUGGUAAGUAACUACGGUGUCUCACUGUUGACGAUGUAUCAGGUAAGUGGGCGUCGGCUCUGAGGAUGACGGAGCUGGCGGGUAUCGUCUGAAUGUUCCCCUUCAAAACUUUAAAUGAGCGAAUGGAGAACAUUUCUCCACUGGUGUUGGCGUUGUCCUGACGUUGUGUUCCUCUGUCUCCCCUUCUCCACGACACCUGACCCAACACGCCAAGAUGUGGAUGAUGUCAAAUUUGUCAUCAAUUACGACUAUCCCAACUCAUCGGAGGACUACAUCGGCCGCACGGCGCGCAGCAACAACAAAGGCACCGCCUACACCUUCUUCACCCCGGGGAACCUCCGCCAGGCCCGCGAGCUAAUCCGGGUUCUGGAGGAGGCCCGGCAGGACAUAAACCCCAAACUCCUGCAGCUGGUUGACGCUGGACGUGGAGGAGGUGAGGGAUCCUCGUGGAUCACUUGACUCCUGAGUUCUCUCCAGCAAAGAGGAAUCAGUUCCCACCUUUUGGGGGGGAUUGUCGUAUUUAUGUGCAAAUGUCUUAAAGUACGAGGUGUGAAACCCAAUCACGCUCCACUGUUAUGUAGAAAGAUCCUAGCGUGAUGUGUUUAGUCUUCCCUCGCUCUGCCUUUGUUCUUUUUUCUUUUCUUCUCGUCCAUCUCCAGGCGGGCGUCCUCGUUUUGGCAGCCGCUCCAAUCCCAACCUGAUGUACCAGGAGGAGUGUGACGGGCGAGCGCGCUCCGCCGGUGGGAGCAGCAGCGUUCCAGUUUGCUCCUCCACUGCCGCCCCCUCCAUCAGGCAGAAAGUGAUGUCAUCUGCAUAUACGGUAGGUGUUGAGGUAAAUUCUUGUACAAUGUUUUUUUUUUAGGUUAAUUCAUCUUGUUUGCGAGCCACUAGAUCAUUGAAUAGAUUUAGCGGCUGUUGCUCGAGCAGCGAAGAUGGAUUCACAGCCUACUUUGUUUUUAAUAUUCUUUUGAGCCAAAGAGGCAACCAGAUGAAAAAUGAACUUUUCUUUCACGUUUACCAUAGAUUCCCUUAUCCAGUCAUCACCAAUGUGGGUCUUUGAGUUUCCUAGUACUAAACAUUUUUAGUUUAAUAAAGUUCUUCAAUAAAUCAAA